AGCUACGGCCAUACACUGUUGAAAGCACUGGAUCCCGUCCGAUUUCCGCAGUUAAGCAACAUCUGGGCCAGUCAGUACUAUGGUGGGGGUAGAGACUACUAAAACUAAUUGUAACGG
rnacentral:rRNA from 1 species